CGGCAUGGUAAUCUGUCCGUGUCACCAACAGAUGGAGAUGGGUAGCAGCCGGGAGGAGGACCAACAACCUGAAGCAAGCAAGCACAGAAAUUCUACCGAGUUUGCCGCAGCACGCCUCGCGUUCGCGUCCGAUUUGGUUUGACUAUAGAGACGUAGGAAAUGGACGGGAACACAAUGACCUCUUUUUUCAGUUUAGCUUACCGACAUACUUCCUCCCUUCUCGUUUAAAG
rnacentral:lncRNA from 1 species